rnacentral:siRNA from 1 species
CGACCUCUAAGUUUCGCCUAGGGU